GAUGAACGCUGGCGGUAUGCUUAACACAUGCAAGUCGAACGGACUCUUCGGAGUUAGUGGCGGACGGGUGAGUAACGCGUGAGAAUCUGGCUUUGGGUUCGGGACAACCACUGGAAACGGUGGCUAAUACCGGAUGUGCCGAGAGGUAAAAGAGAAAUUGCCUGAAGAUGAGCUCGCGUCUGAUUAGCUAGUUGGUGAGGUAAAGGCUCACCAAGGCAGCGAUCAGUAGCUGGUCUGAGAGGAUGACCAGCCACACUGGGACUGAGACACGGCCCAGACUCCUACGGGAGGCAGCAGUGGGGAAUUUUCCGCAAUGGGCGAAAGCCUGACGGAGCAAUACCGCGUGAGGGAAGAAGGCUCUUGGGGUGUAAACCUAUUUUCUUAGGGAAGAACAAAAUGACGGUACCUAAGGAAUCAGCAUCGGCUAACUCCGUG
rnacentral:rRNA from 1 species